rnacentral:rRNA from 1 species
AGCUACGGCCAUACAAUGUUGAAAGCACCGGAUCCCGUCCGAUCUCCGCAGUUAAGCAACAUCUGGACCAGUCAGUACUAUGGNNN